rnacentral:rRNA from 1 species
GACGAACGCUGGCGGCGUGCCUAAUACAUGCAAGUCGAACGCUUCUUUCCUCCCGAGUGCUUGCACUCAAUUGGAAAGAGGAGUGGCGGACGGGUGAGUAACACGUGGGUAACCUACCCAUCAGAGGGGGAUGACACUUGGAAACAGGUGCUAAUACCGCAUAACAGUUUAUGCCGCAUGGCAUAAGAGUGAAAGGCGCUUUCGGGUGUCGCUGAUGGAUGGACCCGCGGUGCAUUAGCUAGUUGGUGAGGUAACGGCUCACCAAGGCCACGAUGCAUAGCCGACCUGAGAGGGUGAUCGGCCACACUGGGACUGAGACACGGCCCAGACUCCUACGGGAGGCAGCAGUAGGGAAUCUUCGGCAAUGGACGAAAGUCUGACCGAGCAACGCCGCGUGAGUGAAGAAGGUUUUCGGAUCGUAAAACUCUGUUGUUAGAGAAGAACAAGGACGUUAGUAACUGAACGUCCCCUGACGGUAUUUAACCAGAAAGCCACGGCUAACUACGUG